rnacentral:rRNA from 1 species
AGUGAACGCUGGCGGUAGGCCUAACACAUGCAAGUCGAACGGCAGCACAGUAAGAGCUUGCUCUUACGGGUGGCGAGUGGCGGACGGGUGAGGAAUACAUCGGAAUCUACUUUUUCGUGGGGGAUAACGUAGGGAAACUUACGCUAAUACCGCAUACGACCUACGGGUGAAAGCAGGGGAUCUUCGGACCUUGCGCGAUUGAAUGAGCCGAUGUCGGAUUAGCUAGUUGGCGGGGUAAAGGCCCACCAAGGCGACGAUCCGUAGCUGGGCAGAGAGGAUGCCAACACACAAGGGACACGAGACACGGCCUCGACGCAUACGGGGGGGAGAUGUGGGGAAUGUUGGCCAAGGGGCCCAGGCCCAACCCAGCCAUACCGGGUGGGUGAAGAAGGCCUUGGGGUUGUAAAGCCGUUUUGUGGGAAAAGAAGAGCAGCAGGCUAAUCCCCCGCUGUUCUGACGGUACCCAAAGAAUAAGCACCGGCUACCGCCGUGCCAGCAGCCGCGGUAAUGAUCGAAAGCACACGUCUGAAC